UGUGAUAAUCUCUGUACCACAAUCAUCAUGCACCCAGUGAUAGAAUGUUACACAUAUCAACUGAGAGUGUGAUGACUGUAUUAGAGAGAAAUAGAAGAG
rnacentral:pre_miRNA from 1 species